rnacentral:rRNA from 1 species
ACAGGGAUGCAAUGAAUUGCAUGCGACGUUCUUUUUAAGAGCGCUCGCUUUUACAAGUGCAAUCUUAGCCCGUCGAUCUAAUCUAACCCAUUGUCUGAACAUACUUCGGUAUCUCAACUGGGUGGAAGUGUAGAAUCGAAAGCAAUCUUAUGUUGGUCUCUUUAUAAAGAGCAGUGUAUUAUUAACAUACACACACACAGAAGAUUAAGCCGAGUUGUGUUAAGAGCAAUACAUUUACAAUACACAGCGCUUUAGCGUUGGAAAGCAAAUGUUUGUAGUUUCACUACUGCCUUAGAGUGUGACAGCCACGUUCUAAUCCUUAUUGCUUCUUAUUUAAUACACACUACGCUUUAUCUUUUAAACAAUACACUACGCUCUGUUUAGACCGUAAUUCGUGAUUGUUGAUACCAGAGUCGAGUUGUUUGGGACUACAGCUCAAAUAGUUGGAGGUGGUAAUGACACAUCUAAGGCUAAAUAUUGGUGUUUAUUCUAACAUGCAACGGAAACCGAUAGCAAACAAGUACCGUAAGGGAACGAUGAAAAGCACCCUUCAUAGCGCACUAUGUCUGUCGUCUAAAUUCAUUUAGUCAACAGCAUACUAAGCUCCAAAGGGAGUGAAAGAGAGAGUGAAAUCGCCUCACAUCCUUUAAUACUUUAACUGCCACACUAUACAAUACCCCACAUUCUAUUCAGCGAAGUACAAUCGGACAGAGUGUCUUUGAACUAUUUCUAAUAGUUACAAGCGGGCUAUUACGUUUUGUUUAAAAAUGUUAUAUGCUUUGCUCCCUAAGGCUUGAAUCUUAUUUUUAAUAAGAUCCCAAGUCAUUAACAGGACACAACUAUCUGACCCGUCUUGAAACACGGACCAAGGAGUUCAACUGGACUGCAAGUCAUAGAGUUUCUCACAAAGCUCUGUAAUAUAUUAUAUGGCAAAGCGAAAGCAAUGUUCUUUCCAAGUGCAAAGUGUUAUUCUCUUUAGAAUAACACUGCCACACAAGCUGUUUACGGUCAUAUUGUUAGAGCCUUUGUGCUGUGCAUAUGUGAAUCCCUUUAAAUUUUAUUUAUCGGAAUUCUGUUAAACAAGCUUAAUGAGCACUUUAGUUGAGACCCGAAAGAUGGUGAACUAUGCUCGGACAUGGUGAAGCCAGGUGAAAACUUGGUGGAAGCUUGCGUUGUGCGGAACUGACGUGCAAAUCGUUGCCGCCUGAUCUGAGUAUAGGGGCGAAAGACUCAUCGAACCAUCUAGUAGCUGGUUCCCUCCGAAGUUUCCCUUAGGAUAGCUCGAUAUUAUCACUUAAACAAUUUGUGUAACACAAGGGUAAAGCAAUGAGACGCGGUAUCUGUGGGUCUUAUCUUUAACGACCUCGGCCUUCUCUCAAACUUUAAAUCUGUGCGAAUACAUAUGAUUUCUUAAACAGCUCGUCCCUUAAAAGAUAAGCUGCGAAUCUAUGUUCUUCUCUAUUGUAACUAAAUAUCGUAGUGGGCCAUUCCUGGUAAGCAGGACUGGCGAUGAGGGAUUCAACCUGACGUUUUCAAGAUAAGCCGGGCUUAAUCAUAUCUGCUCCAACCUUCCGAUAAACGCGAAAGGGUGUUCCGUGUGGUGCAGACAGCAGGACGGUGGCCAUGGAAGUUGGAAUCCGCGUAAGGAGUGUGUAACAACUCACCUGCAGAAUCACACCGCCCCGAAAACGGAUGGCGCUCAAGCAGUUAUUUUAAUACAUCUAAUGUAUUUACCCGACACUUGACCAUUAGCGUUAUAACAAUUCUUUUGUUUUAUACCUAAUGAGUAGGAGGUUAUCAAACGCGUGAAGAUAUACUGACGCGUGUCAAAUCAUUGACACCGCGUUUUGUUUAUGCUUAGAAGUGCUUACUCGUAAGAGAGCAUUGAGCUAUCUUUAGUGCAGAUCUUGGUACUAGUAGCAAGGAGUCUUACUGAGAAUUCUAAUGGAGAUCAUACAUGUUUCUUAACUCGUUAAGCGACACUGUAUAGUUCUUCUUUUUAAACCGAGGAUGACCGAAGCGGAGAAAGGUUCCAUGUUGCAGCUUAGUGCGACGUGGGUGAGUCAGUCCUAAGGCUAAUGCCUGACACAGGCUUUUAAUUCUCGUUACAUCUUAUGUGUUUAAACAUCUCUUUUGGUGUUCUUUACACUUAAAUCGUAACGGUUGGCUAAACGGGAAUCUGGUUAAUACUCUAGAACCACUGUAUGACAGUCAACAAUACAAUCUAUUAACAAACCGCGGCAACGCAACAGUUGGGUUGUUCUUUAUAACGACCCCAACCACAAGGCAGAUUACUUGAGGCGUAAGUCCUGACAGGGUUAUCUAGCCUGUUUAACCUUACUAAUAUACAAUACGCAUUGCGUUAUUAACCAUAACACGCUAUUAACAAUAUACGUUACGUAUUUGACAAUCAAGUGUUGAGCGGCAUUUAGUGAACGAUGCACUUGAUUAUUCGCCCACUAAUAAUGGGAAGAGCACUGGUGUUUGUAGAUUGCCUUUAGCACUCACUCUCUUUAUAGAGAACGUCUUUAGCGCAAUCUCAAGCAAUUUACCUGGUGUCUAUGGACCUUAUGUUCUCAGGCGUGAAAAGUCUGUCUCGUAUUCUCUUGUUUAUUGCUAAUAAUAUAUUAGCAAUAUAACAUUUUAAAACAAUAAUAUACACUGGUACAGUGUCUGUACUCAUAACCGCAUCAGGUCUCCAAGGUUUGCAGCCUUUGGUCGUAUAGAAAUACGGUGGGUAAGGGAAGUCGGCAAAUUCGGUCCGUACUUACGAUACAAGGACUGGCUCCGAAGGUGAAUGAAUACGCUAAUACAGAUUUAGCAUCUUAACAGAUUUUAACAUUAAAAGCUUAACCUGUUAACAAGAUAAGGAUAUUCUUUCUUUACGAUUGAAUCCCUCCUAUAAUCUCGUCUUAACUUGUGACGCUUGUUUCAAUCUAGCUAAUGUAUGUGUAUAACACAACCUUUGAGAACUGGCACGGACUCGGGGAAUCCGACUGUUUAAUUAAAACAUAGCAAAGUGCAAUGUUUCUUUACGUAGAUUGAUUUGCCUGUGUGUCAUUCUUCGGAAUGGCAUUACUAACUAUCUCAGUCGCGUUAACUUUUUUAUUUAGUCCGAAAUGGAUUUGAACACUUUGUGUAUUCUGCCCAGUGCUCUGCAAGUUAUUCUGUGUGGAUACAGCAUCUUAAGCGCGGGUCAACGGCGGGAGUAACUAUGACUCUCUUAAGGUAGCCAAAUGCCUCGUCAUUUAAUUGGUGACGCGCAUGAAUGGAUCAACGAGAUUCCCACUGUCCCUACUCACUCUCUAGCGAAAUUACAGCCAAGCCAACGGUCUUGGGAUAGUACUUGUGUGUCAUUUGUGUGUCACAUGAUUAUACUUAUUCUUAUAAAAAUGGAUUACAUAUCUAUUAACAAUACAGUGUCUUAUUCUUAUUAGAAUAACACGACUGUUAACAUUGUAAUUCCCUUUUUUUAAAGAGAAAUUACAAAACGUACAACAGCGGGGCAAGAAGACCCUUUUGAGCUUGACUCUAAUCUGUUAUUGUCAUCUGGUCGGCAUGGCGAAGAUAGUAAGAGGCAGUGCAUUCAUUUGUACGACCAUGAAACACCGCUACUUGACGAUUUGGCUGACUAACUGUAUAGGCAUUGCCUUUUUACAGCAUUAGCAACAACACACACUUUCGCUCUUUUAAACAGCUAUCCUUUAUAGGAUCUGCUGUAAAUGACGUUUGUGUGAGCAUUUGUUCACUCGCUAAUAUCUCUCACGAGGUUUGCGACCAUAGUUCUCUUGCCAUUCUUUAUAGAAUUGAAAAGGGACGGCUUAUCUUUUAUAUAAAAGUUAAGCCGUUAUAACCUGGCUUGUUGAAGUGACUUAUGCCAAUGAGCUACUACUUUAUACAUAGCAUUCCGAGCAUUGGACUAUGAGCUCUCUGUAUUAUUAAAGGCUUCGGUCUUUUUAAUACACUAACGACUCUUACCAUUAUAUAGCAAUUGUACAGGACAUUUGCAGAAUGGGAGUUUGGCUGGGGUGGCACAUCUGUUAGAAUGCAACACAGGUGUCCCAAGGGCAGCUCCGUGAGAACAGAAACCUCUCAUCGAGUAUAAGGGCAAAAGCUGUCUUAAUCUAAGUUCCUUCAGUAACGGAACACAAUGAAAUACAAUACUUGCCUGUUUAGUGUCUUGUUCUUGUAACAAGUAUGCUGUAUGGCUUGUUUAGUGUGAAAGCACGGCCUAGCGAUCCUUUAGUGAACGUAUGAAUUCUAUGGUAUCUUCUCUUUCACGAGAGAUGUGUGUGCUGUAUAUUAAACGUUAACCGCCUUUAUCUUUUAAAUUUGAGAGCUGGUUGAGAUUUGUGUACUGGACGGGUUAAACCGUGGUUGUGCCAAUCUUAAUAGCCUGAUCUUAUCUUUAUCUUAAAGGCAUCCUAAUGUUUAAAUAACAGCCACAUGACCUAUUACUUUUUGCGGCUAGAGGUGUCAGAAAAGUUACCACAGGGAUAACUGGCUUGUGGCCCCGGAGCGUUCAAAGCGAUGGGGCUUUUUGAUUCUUCGAUGUCGGCUCUUCCUAUCCUGCGGUUGCAUACGGCCGCAAGGGUAAGUUUGUUCACCUGCCAACAGGGAACGUGAG